CAGAGAUGNUUUGGUGCCUUCGGGAACUCUGAGACAGGUGCUGCAUGGCUGUCGUCAGCUCGUGUUGUGAAAUGUUGGGUUAAGUCCCGCAACGAGCGCAACCCUUAUCCUUUGUUGCCAGCGGUCCGGCCGGGAACUCAAAGGAGACUGCCAGUGAUAAACUGGAGGAAGGUGGGGAUGACGUCAAGUCAUCAUGGCCCUUACGAGUAGGGCUACACACGUGCUACAAUGGCGCAUACAAAGAGAAGCGACCUCGCGAGAGCAAGCGGACCUCAUAAAGUGCGUCGUAGUCCGGAUUGGAGUCUGCAACUCGACUCCAUGAAGUCGGAAUCGCUAGUAAUCGUAGAUCAGAAUGCUACGGUGAAUACGUUCCCGGGUCUUGUACACACCG
rnacentral:rRNA from 1 species